CUUAUAAAUGGGGAGUCCAACUCUAGACACUCUAAGAUCCUUUUUCAAACAUGUUCCCAUUUUGAGUCAAGAGAUUGAUAAAUAGACACAUUCCGUUGCACUGAUCAGGGGCGUUCAUAGUGAUUGAGGGAGUCGAAGACUAAGAAGUGAGUUAUUUAAGCCAAGCAUUCUUCUUACGGCUAGAUCCAAUCUCCUAGCCCUUGCAGAAAAGAAAAAAAAUUCACGCUCUUCCUUUCGGGAAGGGAGGAUUAGGGAAAUCCUCUUGAUUGUAACUUUCUCCAAACCUCG
rnacentral:lncRNA from 1 species